rnacentral:rRNA from 1 species
GUAGGUGGCAAGCGUUGCCCGGAAUUAUUGGGCGUAAAGCGCGCGCAGGCGGGUUCUUUAAGUCUGAUGUGAAAGCCCACGGGCCCAACCGUGGAGGGUCAUUGGAAACUGGAGAACUUGAGUACAGAAGAGGAAAGCGGAAUUCCACGUGUAGCGGUGAAAUGCGUAGAGAUGUGGAGGAACACCAGUGGCGAAGGCGGCUUUCUGGUCUGUAACUGACGCUGAGGCGCGAAAGCGUGGGGAGCAAACAGGAUUAGAUACCCUGGUAGUCCACGCCGUAAACGAUGAGUGCUAAGUGUUAGGGGGUUUCCGCCCCUUAGUGCUGCAGCUAACGCAUUAAGCACUCCGCCUGGGGAGUACGGCCGCAAGGCUG